UAAGCACUUGUGUGGUGGGGGGUGUGUGUGUCGGGGGGUGGAACUUUAAAAGGUAGUGAAGAUUUUUAAAUCAAAUUUUCUCUUUUACAUUUUUUUAAAAAAAAAAGAAGAAAAUAAACACAAAUAGAAGAGACGAGACACCGCGGUGAGUGUGAAGUUACAUCAUGCCACAAUAAAUAAAGGUGACGCUUGAAAAAGAGGGAGAGAAGGAGGGAGGGACUCUGUGCAAGAUGGCCGUGUGUGUGUUGUGAAGCUUUAGCACGAGUAGUAGUAGUAGUAGUAGUAGUAGUAGUAGUAGUACUAAAGGGAGUACAAGGAGUAGUAGUAGACGUAGUGUUGACUUCUUUGCUGGACGCUGUUGUUUCCAGUGUUGUUGUUCUGGGGGGGGGGGGGGGGGGGGUGUAGGAUUAUAUUAGGGUUCUAGGUUGAAGUCUCUGUCUUGGGGGUUUCGAACCGUCGACCACCCCGCUCUCCUACUACAACAUGCUGGACUGAAACACAUGGAAAACACUGUGAUGUUUUGUUUUGUUUUUUGUUGUUGUUUUUUUUUUUUUUUUUUAGAAAACGUCUGUGAAACAGUUCACGUCUGAGACAGAGUUUUCACAGCUACACCGUCCACAGGCUGACGGGAGGAAGAAGAGGAGGAGGAGGAGGAGUCCAGCCACCAGAUGCAGGGAGAGCUACAGCACAGAGUCACGUGACCUACAACAGUAACACAGAGUCCCGACACAGAGAGAGAGGCAGAGUUUGUGGAGCCACUUUGUCCAGUGAGCGGUGAGUGUACCUGGGCAGAGAUAGGCCAAUGUCCUCAGCCUCUGGGUCCAUACAGUCUGCACGUCUUCAGUGAUGAAACAUCAACAUCAACAUCAGCAAAGUAACGCCAGCACGCUGUCCUGAAGACAAACUGAGGACGAGCAGAAAAACGACAACAACAACAACACAGUGAUGAGUCGGUUUGAUUCUGACCUGUUGACCUGCUGACCUGUUGACCUGUUGACCGACCGUUUGUUCUC